GUCUGGGUAGUGUAGUUGGUUAUCACGCAAAUCUAACACAUUAGUGGUCCCUAGUGCAAACCUGGGUUCAAACA
rnacentral:tRNA from 1 species